CCUACGGGUGGCUGCAGUGGGGGAUAUUGCACAAUGGGGGGAACCCUGAUGCAGCGACGCCGCGUGGGUGAAGGAGUGCUUCGGCGUGUAAAGCCCUGUCGGCAGGGAAGAAACAAGACGUUACCGGAGUAAGAAGCCCCGGUGAAUGAGGUCCCAGCAGCCGCGGUAUAAGGAAGGGGGCGGGCGGUACCCGGUUUAACUGGGUGUAAGGGGAGCGUAGACGGCCAUGCAAGCCAGGGGUGAAAGCCCGGGGCCCAACCCCGGGACUGCCCUUGGACUUGGGUGGCUGGAGUGCGGGAGGGGCAGGCGGAAUUCCUGGUGUAGCGGUGAAAUGCGUAGAUAUCAGGAGGAACACCGGCGGCGAAGGCGGCCUGCUGGACCGCGACUGACGUUGAGGCUCGAAAGCGUGGGGAGCGAACAGGAUUAGAUACCCCGGUAGUC
rnacentral:rRNA from 1 species